rnacentral:rRNA from 1 species
UACGAAGGGGACUAGCGUUGUUCGGAAUCACUGGGCGUAAAGCGCACGUAGGCGGAUUCGUAAGUUAGGGGUGAAAUCUCGGGGCUCAACCUCGGAACUGCCUUUGAUACUGAGGAUCUUGAGUACGGGAGAGGUGAGUGGAACUGCGAGUGUAGAGGUGAAAUUCGUAGAUAUUCGCAAGAACACCAGUGGCGAAGGCGGCUCACUGGCCCGUAACUGACGCUGAGGCACGAAAGCGUGGGGAGCAAACAGG